rnacentral:rRNA from 1 species
UACAGAGGGUGCGAGCGUUGUUCGGAAUUAUUGGGCGUAAAGGGCGCGUAGGCGGCGCCACAAGUCACUUGUGAAAACUCUGGGCUCAACUCAGAGCCUGCAAGCGAAACUGUGGUGCUGGAGUAUGGGAGAGGUGCGUGGAAUUCCUGUGUAGCGGUGAAAUGCGUAGAGAGUGGGGGAGAACACUCGUGGCGAAGGCGGCCAGCUAGACCAGUUCUGACACUGAGGCGCGACAGCGUGGGGAGCAAACAGG